UCCCUGGUGGUCCAGUGGUUAGGACUUGGUUCUUUCACUUCUCUGGCCUGGGUUCAAUCCCUAGUCCAGGAA
rnacentral:tRNA from 1 species